UCUCCUCACGGACGCUGCGGCGGCGCGGAGCGGUCGCUUCGGCGCAGCGUCCCUGCCGCGGAGAAGGUGCGUAGCCGGUGCCGGCCGUGCGCUGACACAUCAGUCCUUCGCACUCGUCCCUAGACACUGACACGGCGUCCCUUGAACAAAUGCUGGUUAUUUUAAGUGUUGGGUUUCCCGGCCCACGAGUCCCGCCAGGAGCCGCGCACUGCCGGGAGCGCUUCCCCCGUACCGGUACCGCAGAGAAGCCUGCAAACACUCGGCUGUUGGGAGCUGAGAACAACUGGCACCAUUCCCUCGCUGCCGCGGUUUUACAUCAAUCGCUUUGUCCUGACGACGUCACUCACCACCGUCCUGCGGCAGCCUCCAGCCCUUGAAAAUUUCACCAUCUGAGGGGAAAAAACCCAGUGACACGCGCUGCUUGUGCCAGGGGGACCCAGUGACCCAGUGCGAGUACAGAGUGACAUUCCUGGGACUGCAGCUUCUACGACUGUCCCCAAACAUGAACAUUCCUUCUGACAGGAGCAAGGAUAGUGUUUUGUCCGUCUGCCACAGAGGCCAGUCACUCCCAGAGCCAUUAGAAGGUGGCUUUGGGGUCAAUGUUCUAGGCAUGUUAUUUCCCCAGAUAACCCUUGAGCUGGGAAGGAUAAAAAGAAGAUGAACUUUUGUUUGUAUUUGCAGAACAUUCAUUGUAGCUUUGUACUAGACAAAGCCACUGUUCAUCACUUCCAGAGCAAAAGGAAGUAGAGAGAAUCAACCCUAAAAUACUGAACUGUAUUUAAAGUUUAAUGGUAAAUAAACUGGUGUAUUAUUUUC